AUUUGGUUAAGUUAGAAAGGGCGCACGGUGGAUGCCUUGGCACUAGGAGCCGAUGAAGGACGGGACUAACACCGAUAUGCUUCGGGGAGCUGUAAGUAAGCUUUGAUCCGGAGAUUUCCGAAUGGGGAAACCCGCUGCACGUAAUGGUGCAGUAUCCAUACUUGAAUACAUAGAGUAU
rnacentral:rRNA from 1 species